UCUUUCUUUGAAUCUCCACUCUCUCACUCGAAUCUCAUUGUCUCUCUCGCUCGAACAGUGAAGAUUUGAAGAUUUGAUUUCAAAAUUUGAAGAUUUGAAGAUGCUGUUGAUGAAGAUUUGAAGCCAAAUAUUUAAGAUUUGAAGAAUUUGAAGAUGCUGUUGAAGAAGAUUUCGAUUGAUUCAUAAUCAAGAUUCAUAUAUCGGUCAAGCCCAAACCUAACUCAGCUAGCGUAUAAGGACUUCUGAGAGACUUAAUGUUGCAGUUAUUUCAUUGAUUUAAGGUGUCAGAUGCAUCUAGUGG